ACGAGGUCCGCACUGACCGCCGGCAGGGGCGGGGGACCCAAUUGCGGGCACCGGAAGUUCGGUGUCCUUGGGGUGAAGCCGGAGAACCGAUCUCGAUCGGGGACACGGCCGGGUGUUCUCCCACCCGAACCCGACAGCUGACCUCGUAGGCAUCAGGAGAGGCAUC
rfam:Cellulomonas sp. Leaf395 contig_1, whole genome shotgun sequence.